AGUGAACGCUGGCGGUAGGCCUAAAACAUGCAAGUCGAACGGCAGCACAGGUGAGCUUGCUCUCUGGGUGGCGAGUGGCGGACGGGUGAGGAAUACAUCGGAAUCUACUCUGUCGUGGGGGAUAACGUAGGGAAACUUACGCUAAUACCGCAUACGACCUAGGGGUGAAAGCAGGGGAUCUUCGGACCUUGUGCGAUUGAAUGAGCCGAUGUCGGAUUAGCUAGUUGGCGGGGUAAAGGACCACCAAGGCGACGAUCCGUAGCUGGUCUGAGAGGAUGAUCAGCCACACUGGAACUGAGACACGGUCCAGACUCCUACGGGAGGCAGCAGUGGGGAAUACUGGACACUGGGCGCAAGCCUGAUCCAGCCAUACCGCGUGGGUGAAGAAGGCCUUCGGGUUGUAAAGUCCUUUUGUUGGGAAAGAAAUCCAGCUGGCUAAUACCCGGUUGGGAUGACGGUACCCAAAGAAUAAGCACCGGCUAACUUCGUGCCAGCAGCCGCAGUAA
rnacentral:rRNA from 1 species